AGAGUUUGAUCAUGGCUCAGAACGUACGCUGGCGGCACGCCUAACACAUGCAAGUCGAACGAAGUAGCAAUACUUAGUGGCAGACGGGUGAGUAACAUGUAGGUAUCUGCCCUUUGGCCUGGAAUAACACGAGGAAACUUGUGCUAAUACCGGAUAAGUCUUUACGGAGAAAGCUUUAUGCACCAUUGGAUGAGCCUGCACUUGAUUAGUUUGUUGGUGGGGUAAUGGCCUACCAAGACUGUGAUCAAUAGCUGAUUUGAGAGGAUGAUCAGCCACAUUGGGACUGAGACACGGCCCAAACUCCUACGGGAGGCAGCAGUGGGGAAUCUUGCACAAUGGAGGAAACUCUGAUGCAGCGAUGCCGCGUGAGUGAAGAAGGCCCUUGGGUUGUAAAGCUCUUUCGUCGGGGAAGAAAAUGACUGUACCCGAAUAAGAAGGUCCGGCUAACUUCGUGCCAGCAGCCGCGGUAAUACGAAGGGACCUAGCGUAGUUCGGAAUUACUGGGCUUAAAGAGUUCGUAGGUGGUUGAAAAAGUUGGUGGUGAAAUCCCAGAGCUUAACUCUGGAACUGCCAUCAAAACUUUUCAGCUAGAGUAUGAUAGAGGAAAGCAGAAUUUCUAGUGUAGAGGUGAAAUUCGUAGAUAUUAGAAAGAAUACCAAUUGCGAAGGCAGCUUUCUGGAUCAUUACUGACACUGAGGAACGAAAGCAUGGGUAGCGAAGAGGAUUAGAUACCCUCGUAGUCCAUGCCGUAAACGAUGUGUGUUAGACGUUGGAAAUUUAUUUUCAGUGUCGCAGCGAAAGCGAUAAACACACCGCCUGGGGAGUACGACCGCAAGGUUAAAACUCAAAUGAAUUGACGGGGACCCGCACAAGUAGUGGAGCAUGUG
rnacentral:rRNA from 1 species